CUUAGUGGCGCACGGGUGCGUAACGCGUGGGAAUCUGCCCCUUGGUUCGGAAUAACAGUUGGAAACGACUGCUAAUACCGGAUGACGACGUAAGUCCAAAGAUUUAUCGCCGAGGGAUGAGCCCGCGUAGGAUUAGGUAGUUGGUGUGGUAAAGGCGCACCAAGCCGACGAUCCUUAGCUGGUCUGAGAGGAUGAUCAGCCACACUGGGACUGAGACACGGCCCAG
rnacentral:rRNA from 1 species